rnacentral:rRNA from 1 species
AUGGCGACGAGGGUGUGGGCGGCGUCGGCGGCGGCCUUAAACCCCACUCUCCUCCCCCUCUCGUCUUCCCCACGUCCGAGCAGGCCCGCCCCCUCCACGCGGCCGAGCGGGCACCUCCGCCUGCGCAGCCGCCCGCCGCGGCCGGCCAGGGUCGUGUGCCGCCGCGCCAAGAACGCCGCCUUGGAGGACUACAAGUUCCCGGACCCCAUCCCCGAGUUCGCCGAGCAGGAGACGAGCAAGUUCAGGGAGCACAUGACGUGGCGGCUGGAGCAGAAGAAGGAGGAGUACUUCGGGGAGCACGUGGAGGACAUCGUCGACGUCUGCACCGAGGUCUUGAGCACUUUCUUGCAACAUGAGUACUGCGGACCCGGGACGCUCCUGGUUCACCCCUUCUUGGACAUGAAGGGCGAGAUCAAAGAGAGGGGCCUCCCCGGCGCGCCUCAGGCCGCGCGCGCCGCGAUCGCGUGGGCUGAGAAGAACAUCGACAAAGACUGGAAGGAGUGGACCGGAGAUUAUUAG